rnacentral:lncRNA from 1 species
GCGUAUACUAGUUAAGUAUAUAUGAGAGAAUAUAAUAACCAAAUACUCUUUUAUAAAACAAAAUUAUUUUAUAAUAGGUAUAAACAUAUAUCUUUGAAAAAAAAAAAAAAAACUCAAAAUUUGGGAGUGGGCUCUAGCCCCCCUGGCUCCGUCCCUGCCCGUGGUUCUUUAUACGGAUUCCCUCUUGGCUAUACAUUUACUCCAUGAUUCUCAACAUGGUUCCGACUCGCUUUGUGAUGAUUUAUACGAGACCUUUGCUCAUGCCCGUGAUACUGUGGUUUUAGAGUUUUUUCAUGCUCGUCGUGAGGCUAAUAGAGCAGCUCAUGAGCUUGCUCGUUUUGCUUUAUCUCUUUCUGAUGUAAUGAUUUGGAAGUCGGGGUUUCCUACCUGGCUUUCAAAUAUUGCUCUUUCCGAUUUGAAUUAAUAUAAGUUCGUCUUUCUUCUAAAAAAAAAUAAUUACAAGAAGAAGAAACCACUUAAAUUUAUGAAUUUUGUGCGUGGAAUAUAGCUGCAGGUAAAUAGUAACUAUACUAAUAAAGCAACAAGGAAACAAACAACGUUGAACUGCAACUGUAAAUUAGCAAAGAGCACACAUUAUUUCCAUUAACCUAGAACUGUGCGCGCAUUACAAAUUUAAUUUCAAAGAAAAAAGCAGCAUACAUUUAUUAUAAAUUAUAAUAAUCUGCUUCACCCUUGAGAUUGGAGUAGCGAUAUUAAAGGCUCUCACGAGAGAGAGAGAGAGCAGGAAACUGGAACAUGCCAAAGGAUAGAAGUUGCCCUAUAAGACAAGAAGGCCCACCACAUUCAAUCAAGCCCGGCCCGGCCCGGCCCGGCCGUCCAUGAUCCAUGCAGCUUCUCCCUCUCCGCCGCGGCAGGCGAUUCGACCUCGGCGGCGGCCAUGGUGGUGGUGGGCGAAGAUUAAGAGAGUUUGAUGAAGAAAGUUGGUGUGCGUGUUAUAAGGAAGAGGGAUUGGGAAUGAGGUCGUGGGAGCAAUAAAAGAACGAGGUGACUAACUACCUUUUUCAAAAAGGAAGUGAUUUGAGGUAUCUUCCAUCGGAUAUGCCAUUAUGUUGGCAUCUCAAUAUUCACACACACACACACACUUGUAAUCUAAUUCUCUUAUUAAUUUCCCACUUAUUUUAUUAAUGUUGCUCACUUUGAUCAAUUUCCUGCUGCCGUACAUGCACUGCCUUUCCUUUCCUUUUUUACUUUUCUUUUUUUCUUUUUUUCUUUGUUUAACAGCGGAUUAAAGGCUGAAGAAGUAUGUCACCACCACUUUUCAUUUAAUAUUUAUAUUUUAUAUAUAUGGGGCGUUAUAAGGGGUUGUGUUUAUUGUACUGCAUAGCUUAGUGAGUCUUGUACUAUAUACAUAUAUGUAUAUAAUAUAUAUCGCGUUUUCUUUUUCUUUCCGUUUUGAUCUGACUGAGAUUUCAAGUUCAUGGCUAGUGACAUAAGCUGAGAAUCGGAUUAUUCUUUUAUGCUUCAUUGAUUACUACUUACUUCUUAAAGCAAACAGAUUUUGGCCUUUAAUUAGUUGUAGAUUAGUCAGAACCAAUGGCAUAUAAAGUUGACUUUCCUUGUUUUAUUUAAUUAAAAGGCUAGGUGAUCUAUCAUCAAGCGCAUAAGACUUAUGUGAUCCAUCACAUUUAUUUUAAAUAAUUAUACUGAUUUUACAAGUUAAAAGUUAAAAGUUAGAAGUUGUUAACUUAAUCUUGGUUAAGUACCUGAUUUUACAGUGAUCAAUGUAGAACAAAUUACAUGUGUAGAAACAAAAGGAAACAUGUUCUUGAAGGUGCAACUUGCUAGAUCAUUUAUUCUGUGUCUGUGAUGUGUAUACAAUACACCUCUCUGUGACAGCAUAGCUUAUUAGUCCUAAUAUGCAGAAGCAGAUUUGCUGGCGCAUUUACUACUUAAUUAACAAGUUAAGAGAAAAGAGCAAUACUAAGACUGAUGAGAAGUUGUUGCAUACUUGUAUAUAUAGGUAGGGAAGUCAUGAGAACCACCUGUUUCCAGUCCUGGUUGCUCUAAGCUUCAUGACAAGAUCCUCACGUUGGCCCUCCACUUCCGCGUACUUAAGACUCAUCUCUAGGUAGCGCUCCCUCAGGUCCCG